rnacentral:rRNA from 1 species
UUCGGUCUGCUACCUCUUACCCAUGUCUUUUGAGUACCUUCGUUUCCUCGGCGGGUCCGCCCGCCGGUUGGACAACAUUCAAACCCUUUGCAGUUGCAAUCAGCGUCUGAAAAAACUUAAUAGUUACAACUUUCAACAACGGAUCUCUUGGUUCUGGCAUCGAUGAAGAACGCAGCGAAAUGCGAUAAGUAGUGUGAAUUGCAGAAUUCAGUGAAUCAUCGAAUCUUUGAACGCACAUUGCGCCCCUUGGUAUUCCAUGGGGCAUGCCUGUUCGAGCGUCAUUUGUACCUUCAAGCUCUGCUUGGUGUUGGGUGUUUUGUCUCGCCUCCGCGCGCAGACUCGCCUUAAAACAAUUGGCAGCCGGCGUAUUGAUUUCGGAGCGCAGUACAUCUCGCGCUUUGCACUCAUAACGACAACAUCCAAAAGUACAUUUUUACACUCUUGACCUCGGAUCAGGUAGGGAUACCCGCUGAACUUAAGCAUAUCAAUAA